GCUACACACCUGAGAGAACUUCAUAAACACUCUCCUCAUUCUGCAUUACAUGUAUUGCAUUAUAAGAUAGGUAGCUGGGUGUCUGUCAAAUAUCAGCUCAAGCUACCUUUUUAACAUACAUGCUAGAAAUGGCAGUCUGUGUAGACUCGGAGGCACCCUUCUCUCUUGUUGCUUUAAAUAUGUUGAGGCUCUGGGUGCUUUGACAGUUAAGGCCAAGGCCUCUCUCUACUGGGAGAAAGAUCAGUCCCUGCAGGUAAACUGAAGGCUUUUCUCUCAUUUUCAACUUUCCGCUUUUCAGGGCCUUCUGAAUGAGGCCUCUGCUCGGCCUAGCUCUUUCCUUGCUAGUCCUGCCCGCCUUAUGCGAUGACACAGUGGCCGACGACAUUGGGACCCACAUGAUGGCUCGCAUCUCGGAGCUCCUGUCCCCGGAGGAAUGCCAGGCCUUCCUCCUCAAACUCCUGGGCCCCGAGGAGAACGUGAAGGACGAGCUGGAGCGCCUCUCCGAGAAGAACAACCCCAUCGGCCGUCGACGAAAACGAAGAAGGCGCCGCGACAUCCUCACCACCGCUCAGUGCAAAGAGACCCUGCAGCAGUGGCUGGAGACGGAAGGAGACACCAUGUACUGGGAUCGCUUGUCCCGGGCUCUCCAGCUGAUCGGCCGCGCCGACGUCUCGCUAGAACUGGGCAAGAACCUCAACCAGGACAAGAACCUGGAGAUCAAGAAGAACGUGGAGGAGUACCACGAGACGGUGAAGCACCUGACCUCCUCGCUGCUCCUGGACGAGGGUCCGCAAGGGAGCGCGCAAAGCCGGCAGCGGCGCCAAGGCCAGGGCUCCGCGGCGGCGCCGCUCGAGCAAGACGAGUGGGACGGGCUGGAGCUGAUGGUGGAGCGGAAAGCGCUGCCGCCUUACAACCGGAGCCUCUUUGAAUGGGCUACGCCUCUGGCGACGGGCGUCCUCAGCGGCUUUCUAACCUCCUUCAUCCUGGUGGCGCUGGCGCUCUACUCUUUCGUCUGGAUCCUGAACGAAGGCAGCAGCCCCAGCUCCACGCCGUUUCCGAGCGACCCCUUGCCCGCCAUGAUCUUACUCCCACCUCCCACCAGCCGCGGAGGCAUCUACUACUCGUUUGAGCACCUCGAAACCUACGGCAGGGAGUCGGGGGACGAUGAAGACGAGGCCGAAGAAACCUUACGCUAAGCCGCAGCCAGGCAAAGCCGGCCUCUCUUCUGAAAAGGGGAGACAAUAAAGGCGGCUCGUUUAUUU
rnacentral:lncRNA from 1 species